rnacentral:rRNA from 1 species
UACAGAGGGGGCAAGCGUUGUUCGGAAUCAUUGGGCGUAAAGAGCGUGUAGGCGGCCCGGUAAGUCCGCUGUGAAAGUCGGGGGCUCAACCCUCGAAUGCCGGUGGAAACUGUCGGGCUGGAGUCCGGAAGAAGCGAGUGGAAUUCCUGGUGUAGCGGUGAAAUGCGCAGAUAUCAGGAGGAACACCAAUGGCGAAGGCAGCUCGCUGGGACGGUACUGACGCUGAGACGCGAAAGCGUGGGGAGCAAACAGG